GAAAGCUGCUUGCGGUGAAAGUCGCACGAGCAGUUUGGGAAGGGGCCGUCGGAAAAGGACCCGUGCUACGGGCACCUCGUCGGUGGCCUACUUCAC
rnacentral:ncRNA from 1 species